UAGUCAAAGUUCUCUUUUUUUAUCUGUACCACCAGUAGUCUGCAGUGCCAUUGUAGCUUGCUUGUCACCGCUCUAUUUUGAAAUUUCAGAUAAGCCAAGAUAACUGCUAUUCAUUAAGGAUCACAGUCUAGAUCCCAAGAGAAGGAGUACACAGAGGAGAUCCAGCGUCUUCAAAGGGACCCGCAGCAACCAGAUACAGGAAUAGAAUUUCGUGGACCAGUAGCACUAUAGAGUGGCCUGAAUCCACAACUCACCGAAUCGCUUCAAUCUUCUUCUGGAUCAUCGACAGAGUCUCUGUCAUCCAAUCGUGCGGUGCCCUAAACUUUAUCAAUUUAAAAGAAUAAAAUGCUUAAUAAGUAAAAAUGUCACUGAAACAUGCAGAUGAUAAUUGUGAAUAGAUGUGCUAUGGAGCUGUUAAUAUUUGAAUAUGUCUGAAGGAGUCGUUGUCUCCUUCCUCGGGGACGCAAGCCUCUUUCUGCCUUCUUCACCUGCUGUUGUGUUAGUUGCAAUACACUCAAACCAUGAUAUUGUCACGGUUAUUAGCCGUAAACACAAAAGGACGAAGAAGCCAGCAUCACAAGCGGCAGUCUCCGGCAUUUUUCGAGGAAGACAACGUUGCGCGUCUGCUCUUGCGCUUUGUUUUUGUAUGUGAAUAGAGCCUUGCUGUUAACGUCGAAAGGAAGCCUUGUGUCCUGUUCUUUGCAUGUUGCGACACUGGUGGAGGUGCGGGGCUUCUAUGGCUGAUGCUCGGGACUCCUCCGCGAUCCGGCACUUCAAGUCCGACACCGGAACCCGUUCCUUCAGUGGAUACCACGUCCACCGCUACAGUCGCCGACAGCGAGGCCUUAGUUCUGAUGUGAUUCCCCUGGAGCUUUCCCAGCAAAGCACUCCGCCUAGAGAAAUGGCAACUGCAGGUGCUUCCCAGCUGACUUUAGAGCAACCUCAGAUUCCGGAGACAUUCCAUGAUGAGGCGUAUGAAGACGUCGAGGACUGGUUAGCCCAGUAUGAGCGAGUUGCUAAGGCAAACCACUUGACCUCCGAGCGAAAGCUUUCACGCGCCUACUUUGCUUUAGCAGACAGCGCUCGUACGUGGUAUGAGAACCACGGGGCAACACUGUCUUCAUGGGAUGAAUUUCGGCAGCAAAUUAUCAGCACCUUCGCAAACAACGACCGCCUUGACUUUGCUCAGCAACUCAUCGGGUGGCUCUAAAUUAAACUGAAAGAAAAAAAGAUAUGAUUAUCAGUUCAUGUUGGCCACCCUCUCUGAAACCUUUCAUUCACGCAUUGGCUGUUCUUGUGACUAGGUCCCAAUGCAUCACUUGUAAGUGCACUCAGACCCACUUAAAUUUCGCUAGUGGCAGUGCUGCUAAGGCAGCUUUCAGUGUGCCAAGUGGGGUUGCUGGUAGGUAAAUUAUUAAUGGUAGACAGGUAUGCAGUUCUUUUGAACACCAAAGGCUUGGCAGACGCUUGAGUUUUUAAGUCAAGAGUAGACACUGAAAGUGUAAUUAAUCGCACGUUGCUUUCACAGUGGGCUUCUACGAUGAGAUGUUUUUGUUAAUAAUCACAUCUUGAGGAACUAACAGCAUGAGGACCUUUACUUUAUUAUUUUUCGACAGUCCAGGAAGACUAUCAAGUUAACACAUAAAUGAACAUAACCUGUUUUGCUGCAGUCAACUUUAGAUGAUGCAGUUGACGUGAUCCAUAUUUUUUGGAACUACAUACUAGCUCUCACCCCCAGGGUGAGGUCGAAUGAAACCUUUUUGGUGACUUGAAAAAAUGCUUUCCAUCGUUACUCUGGUUGUAUCAGUUGCCUUUCUUGUACCAGAGUAUCGGUAUUAAGAGGCUCACGAAACUGUGCUGACUAAUGCCGUUUCUGCGGAGCAAAGUGGUGAUGAGAUGGCUCGUGAGGAUGUUGCUGAGUUGGAGCGUUGGGAGCAGGAGCAGAUGAAGAAGGGUGUCAGCACUGCACCGGUUGCAGCCGUCCCAACACCAGAGGAACAGUGUGUGGUGCUAACAUAAUUCACAGAGCAGCCGACUGCUGUGUCGGUCCAGGACCGGCAAAACCUCAGCUCACAGGCUGUGCUCGAGCGGAUAACAGAUCGGCUUGCCACAGUUCGUGAAAUGCUAGCCGUGCAUCGACGGCAGAAAAAGCAGGCGCUCACGACCUGGAGGUGUCGGCGGAGACCACUACACAGCUGCACCAGGAGCAGCCUAAGUUGGAAACAAACUUCCGCUUCUUCCAAGAGAUGCAGUCAUAUGCUGCUGAUCUCAUUGAAUGCCUUGAUGCCAAGAUACCCGUGAUCCUGGCCUUGGAGGGGCGUAUGAUGUCUCUGCUUUCUCAGCGCAGUGAGAAGCUUGUGCAGCGUAGGCACCAGGACAUCAAAGACCAGGCCGAAGAAUGCAAUAUCGCAGUGAAGGCGAUGCGAGGCCAGCCCGUAGAGGCUAAUAAUCGAGGCAGCCAGCAACGAAGUUGGCGGGCAGCUGAACGAGAAG